UACGGAGGGUGCAAACGUUGCUCGGAAUCAUUGGGCGUAAAGCGCACGUAGGCGGCCUGUUAAGUCGGGUGUGAAAGCCCUGGGCUCAACCCAGGAAGUGCACUCGAAACUGGCGGGCUUGAAUAUGGAAGAGGGUCGCGGAAUUCCCGGUGUAGAGGUGAAAUUCGUAGAUAUCGGGAGGAACACCAGUGGCGAAGGCGGCUUCCUGGCCUGUUCUUGACGCUGAGGCGCGAAAGCUAGGGGAGCAAACGGG
rnacentral:rRNA from 1 species